AAGAAUGCGUUGAUGAGAAGUAGUAGCAGGGAGGAGUUCCCAGAGAGCUGCCGGAUGGUGCGAGGCAGUGAAUAAUUUCUUGUGAACUGGUCUUUGAGCAGCCAGCUGAACUUGUGGACAUUUGUCCGCAAUAGUAGGUGGAGCCGGUGCUGGCCGUUAAAGCAGGUGGGAGAAAUCCCGUUGAGUGCGUGCUUUGGCACGAAAUUGAGUGGUACCACGAAAGACAGCCUUUCGUCUCUUUG
rfam:Anaerovibrio lipolyticus strain 5S contig00235, whole genome shotgun sequence.